rnacentral:sRNA from 1 species
CUUGGUCAUUUAGAGGAAGUAAAAGUCGUAACAAGGUCCCCGUUGGUGAACCAGCGGAGGGAUCAUUACCGAGUUUACAACUCCCAAACCCAAUGUGAACGUUACCAAACUGUUGCCUCGGCGGGAACUCAUGCCCCGGGUGCGUCGCAGCCCCGGACCAAGGCGCCCGCCGGAGGACCAACCAAAACUCUUUUUGUAUACCCCCUCGCGGGUUUUUUAUAAUCUGAGCCUUCUCGGCGCCUCUCGUAGGCGUUUCGAAAAUGAAUCAAAACUUUCAACAACGGAUCUCUUGGUUCUGGCAUCGAUGAAGAACGCAGCGAAAUGCGAUAAGUAAUGUGAAUUGCAGAAUUCAGUGAAUCAUCGAAUCUUUGAACGCACAUUGCGCCCGCCAGUAUUCUGGCGGGCAUGCCUGUCCGAGCGUCAUUUCAACCCUCGAACCCCUCCGGGGGGUCGGCGUUGGGGAUCGGCCUUCCUUCACGGGGGCCGUCUCCGAAAUACAGUGGCGGUCUCGCCGCAGCCUCUCCUGCGCAGUAGUUUGCACACUCGCAUCGGGAGCGCGGCGCGUCCACAGCCGUUAAACACCCAACUUCUGAAAUGUUGACCUCGGAUCAGGUAGGAAUACCCGCUGAACUUAAGCAUAUCAAUAAGCGGAGGAAAAGAAACCAACAGGGAUUGCCCCAGUAACGGCGAGUGAAGCGGCAACAGCUCAAAUUUGAAAUCUGGCCCCUAGGGUCCGAGUUGUAAUUUGUAGAGGAUGCUUUUGGUGAGGUGCCGCCCGAGUUCCCUGGAACGGGACGCCACAGAGGGUGAGAGCCCCGUCUGGCUGGCCACCGAGCCUCUGUAAAGCUCCUUCGACGAGUCGAGUUGUUUGGGAAU